CACGCAGGUCGUGACUGGCGCAUACAGAUGGACAACCAUCGGGGAGCGACCUCACCGAGCACGUGUGCCGCGCGCCUGGGCCUUCUCC
rnacentral:ncRNA from 2 species